GAGUAAUUGCCGCCGAUCGCACGGCCUCCGAGCCGGCGACACCUUCACUGAAUUUCUGAUCUAUCAUGCUGAUGACGGCUGGUGCAAUGCCAACCAUCGCGUUAACGGAUAACAAAGAAUCUGGGUUCGAUUCUGGAGAGGCCGCAUGAGAAAUGGCGAGCAGUUCAAAGGAAGACAGCAGGCAUGCAAAUUACCCAUUUGGGACACCGAGAGGUAGUGUCGAACAAUACCGAUACGGCCCACUUAUGUGUCGCCGCAAUAAGAAUUAGUACACUUCAAAUCGGUCAAUGAGGAUCCACUGGAGGGCAAGCCUGAAGAAAUUGAACCGCUUAGAGGGGGCGAGCAGCUUGCACAGCUCAGCAUGGUAUGAUGGAACAUGGGCUCGUACUCAUUUUGUUGGUUAGAGAGUCGGCGAGCCAAUGAUUAACAGGGACUGCCGGGGGCAUUCGUACUCGGACGGGAGAGGUGAAAUUCAAGGAUCGUCCGAAGACGCCCUACUGCGAAAGCAUUUGCCAAGAAUGUUUUCAUUAAUCAAGAACGAAAGUCAGAGGUGCGAAGGCGAUCAGAUACCGCCGUAGUUCUGACCGUAAACGUUGCCAACUGGCAAUUGGGCGCACUUCUAUAGAAGUUGCCGCCAGCAGUAUUGCCCGGGAAACCAAAGUCAUUGGGUUCCGGGGGGAGUAUGGUUGCAAAGCUGAAACUUAAAGGAAUUGACGGAAGGGCACCACCAGGAGUGGAGCCUGCGGCUUAAUUUGACUCAACACGGGGAACCUCACCCGGCCCGAACACUGUUAUGACAGACAGGUUGAGAGCUCUUUCUCGAUUCAGUGGUUGGUGGUGCAUGGCCGUUCUUAGUUCGUGGAGCGAUCUGUCUGGUUAAUUCCGAUAACGAACGAGACUCUUGCCUGCUAAAUAGACGGCGUCGACACGAGCGGCGACCGUUCGCUUCUUAGAGGGACAAGCGGCUUUUAGCCGCAAUAACAGGUCAGUGAUGCCCUCAGAUGUUCGGGGCCGCACGCGCGCUACACUGUUUGCAUCAGCGUGUUUCUCCCGCGCCGGCUGGCGUGGGCAACCCGUUGAACCGCAAACGUGCUAGGGAUCGGAGAUUGCAAUUGUUCUCCGUGAACGAGGAAUUCCUUGUACUGGCGAGUCAUCAGCUCGCGGGGAAUCUGUCCCUGCCCUUUGUACACACCGCCCGUCGCUACUACCGAUUGAGUGGUUUAGUGAGGCUCACGGACUGCGCGCGGCACUCGGCGCUCUCGGGCGUCGCGCCGCGAUGUGGAAAGUGAGACGAACUUGAUCACUUCUAGGAAGUAAAAGUCGUAACAAGGUUUUCGUAGGUGAACCUGCGGAAG
rnacentral:rRNA from 1 species